AGGACGAACGCUGGCGGCGUGCUUAACACAUGCAAGUCGAGCGGAAAGGCCCUUCGGGGUACUCGAGCGGCGAACGGGUGAGUAACACGUGAGUAACCUGCCCCUAGCUCUGGGAUAGCUCCGGGAAACCGGGAUUAAAUACCAGAUACGACCACUUUAGACAUCUGUCGUGGUGGAAAGGAUUCCGGCUAGGGAUGGGCUCGCGGCCUAUCAGCUUGUUGGUGGGGUAACGGCCUACCAAGGCGACGACGGGUAGCCGGCCUGAGAGGGCGACCGGCCACACUGGGACUGAGACACGGCCCAGACUCCUACCGGGAGGCAGCAGUGGGGAAUAUUGCGCAAUGGGCGAAAGCCUGACGCAGCGACGCCGCGUGGGGGAUGAAGGCCUUCGGGUUGUAAACCCCUUUCAGCAGGGACGAAGCGAAAGUGACGGUACCUGCAGAAGAAGCGCCGGCUAACUACGCGCCAGCAGCCGC
rnacentral:rRNA from 1 species